CAACAUAGAGUGAAGCAGUCUGAUAAAACAGAGUUGAAGGUCAUAUACAUCCACAACGCGAAAGGUUGCCACGGAAGAGUUCUCGCUGGACUGAAGCUUGGGGUAUGUCAGUCAUGGCAUAUCACAAAAAUAGUGGAGCAUAGCUGUGAGCAAACUAGGACUCUUUCAAACCACUGCAAUGUGACAGCAAGAUAUGUGGCACAGACGAUGGAAACGAUUGUGCAUGGAAGUCUCAACAUUAGUGUUAGGGCUCUGCAAAAAGAUGCAGAAGAUCAAAUUGGCUUCCCUGUCAGCUACAGCAAGGCUAGGGGUGCGAAGGAAAAUAUAUUCAAGAACUUGUACGGUACCUAUGAGGAGGCCUAUUCUUAU
rnacentral:rRNA from 1 species